UUUCGGGUGCCGAAGAUUUUUUUAUUUUUUUCCAAUUAGUAAGAGAGUCCCCCGUAUUUCAUACUAAAAGGUAUUAAGGUAAGGUUUUUAUAUAUGAAUACAGGAAAUGGGACAUUUAAUUAUUUUGAUAUAAAAAUAUCGUGUUUUUCGUUUAAUUUUGAUUUGAAAUCAAAACGUAGAUUUUGAUUUAAGAGACGAACUUAAAAUAGUGUUUAUUUUGUGUGGGGUAAAGUGUGAUUUGUACGAGAUUGUGUGUUUUUGAUUUCGAGGCUGGAUUUUCGCCUCAUUUGAGUUUUGAUUUGUGGAUAUGGAUGAUUCAAAUAAUAGACGAGCUACCAGAGUAUUUAAGAAAAGUUCACCGAAUGGAAAGAUAACGGUGUAUUUAGGGAAACGAGAUUUUGUGGAUCAUAUUACACAUGUAGACCCUAUCGAUGGUGUCGUAUUAAUCGAUCCAGAAUAUGUAAAAGAACGUAAAGUAUUCGGUCAUGUAUUGGCCGCAUUUCGUUAUGGACGUGAAGAUUUAGAUGUAUUAGGUUUAACAUUUCGUAAAGAUUUAUAUUUAGCCGCUGAGCAAAUAUUCCCACAAGAGAAAACAGCUGCAAAACGACCGUUAACACGACUACAAGAACGUUUAAUUAAAAAACUCGGUCCAAAUGCAUAUCCAUUCUAUUUUGAAUUACCACCACAUUGUCCGGCAUCGGUAACAUUACAGCCCGCUCCAGGUGAUACUGGUAAACCAUGCGGAGUGGAUUACGAGUUAAAAGCAUUUGUCGGGGAAUCAUCUGAAGAUAAACCACAUAAAAGGAAUUCUGUACGCUUAGCAAUACGUAAAAUAAUGUAUGCACCCAGUAAAUUAGGUGAACAGCCAUCGGUGGAAGUUAGUAAAGAAUUUAUGAUGAGUCCAAAUAAAUUACAUUUGGAAGCAUCGUUGGACAAAGAAUUGUAUUAUCAUGGUGAAAAUAUUGCUGUAAAUGUACAUAUAGCAAAUAAUUCAAAUAGAACUGUUAAAAAAAUCAAAGUUACUGUACGACAAUUGGCUGACAUUUGUUUAUUCUCAACAGCACAAUAUAAAUGUAAUGUAGCCGAAGCUGAAAGCGAUGCUGGUUGUCCAAUUUCACCAGGUUUUACAAUGUCAAAAGUAUUUACAGUGAAACCGUUACUUGCAAAUAAUAAAGAUAAAAGAGGCUUAGCACUUGAUGGCCAAUUAAAACAUGAAGAUACCAAUUUAGCAUCAUCCACAAUAGUUACCGAUCCUUCACAACGGGAAAAUUUAGGUAUUAUUGUUCAGUAUAAAGUUAAAGUGAAAUUAUGUCUUGGAGCUCUUGGAGGGGACUUGACAGCAGAGUUACCAUUCAUUUUAAUGCAUCCAAAGCCUGAAGAAGAGUCAAUAAUGCCAAUACCACGAGCACUGCCUGCAGAUUCAAAUUCGCAAUCCGGUGAAAAUAAUGUUGUAAUUGAUAAUAACUUAAUACAAUUAGAUACGGACGUUGAUGGAGGCUACGACGAUGAUAUUAUAUUUGAAGAUUUUGCACGAUUACGACUAAAAGGUGGUGAAACAGAUGCUUAAGAAUAGGUUAGCAAAUGAGACCAAUUUAUCUUAUUAAAAAAAAUAAAUACAAAAAAAAAAACACAAGAAAAAAAAUUUGAAUAUGUAAAAAAAAAAUUGGGGCCUUUUUCGGAUCGUAUUUGUCGCGUGUCGCAUCUACUGGAAGAAAUAAUUAAAAGGCUCUAUCUAGCGAUAGAAAAAAAAACUAUAGGUGUAAGAUUCACAUUGAUAUAUAAUAUUUAACGGAAUUACAAUAUUAUAUAUUGCAUACCAUACAUGCAUAUACAGGGUGUCCCGUGACUCGAUGUUCAUAGCUUAAUUAAGAGUGUAUUCUCUGAACAAUUUUAAAUCGAAAGUGCCUUUUGGACUUUUGUCAAAAAGCCAAUAGUUAGGGAGUUUUGGGCCCACUUUUUACGAUAAGUAGUUUUUUAAUGUUAAUAUAGUAUUAUUGUAGAUAUUAGUACUUAUCGUAAAACGUGGCAAUCUCAGCUAAUUUUGAUGAUAGAAAGUUGAAUAAAAAACGAAAAUGGGCAGAAUUACAUCAGCUAUAGCUUUUGUAUGAAAUUAAUAAAACAUUCAACUACUUUACUCAACAAUGCAUUUACUCUAUUCGUUAAAUUUAGUAAUGCCCAUAACUCCCAAACUAUUGGGUUUUAGACAAAAGUCCAAAAGGCACUUUCGACUUAAAAUUGUUCAGAGAAUACACUCAAGCUAUGACUAUCGAGUUACGAGACACCAUGUAUAAGAUAAGUUGAUGUAACCAUUUUUGACAAGAAAAAUUUUAUUAAUGAAUUAUAUUAAACAUUAAAAUAAUUGUUUUUAUUUUAAUUUGGGUCACUAUGUCGUAGUGUGAUCGAAAAUAUACAAUUCUUCUAAAAAAGUUAAAUCGGGACUUAGGUACAUAAAAUUUUUACAAAAUUUAAAUAAGAACUGCAAAGUUUAUGUAAAAAAGUAGGAAAACUAUCGCAAUUAUAAAAGACUAAGGGGAAAAAUAUGGCAUUAAAUGUAAAAUGAAGUAGUAUCUUUUGUCUUUUCAUUCAAAAAUCAGCUGAGUCUAACAAGUGUGGUUUACAUUUUUUUAAUCAUGGCGCUGACAUCUUAGCGUUCA